UACGUAGGGACCAAGCGUUGUCCGGAACCAUUGGGCGUAAAGCGCGCGUAGGUGGCUUCGUAAGUCCGUUGUGAAAGUCAAAGGCUCAACCUUUGAAAGCCGAUGGAUACUGCGGAGCUAGAGUACGGAAGAGGCGAGUGGAAUUCCUGGUGUAGCGGUGGAAUGCGCAGAUAUCAGGAGGAACACCGGUGGCGAAGGCGGCCCGCUGGGCAGGAAGGCCCCCUCACGGGGGCCGGCUGACGCUGAGGCGCGACAGCGUGGGGAGCAAACAGG
rnacentral:rRNA from 1 species